GAAAGGCGAAACGUAAUGUGAAUCGCAACUAACAGUGAAUCAUCGAAUCUUUGAACGCAGGCCGCACCUUGCAAUAUCACUCUGUGUUACUGCAAGGUAUCUACGUAUGAGUGUCAGCCCAAUAUCCUUUUGGUUUAAGAGAUAUAUAUUUGAUUAUUUUUAUUGAAUAUUGACUCUUAAAUACAUAUAUAUAUUUAUACUUUUAUAUAUGUCUGGCCUCAUAUGUGGAAGGUUACCCGCUGGAUUUAAGC
rnacentral:misc_RNA from 1 species